rnacentral:rRNA from 1 species
GACGAGGAUAACCGUUGAAACAGUGGCUAAGACUGGAUAGGAAGAUAAAAGGCAUCUUUUUAUCUUUUAAAAGACCUAGUAAUAGGUAUGCUUUAGGAGGGGCUUGCGCCAUAUUAGUUAGUUGGUAGGGUAAUGGCCUACCAAGACGAUGAUGUGUAGCUGGACUGAGAGGUUGAACAGCCACAUUGGGACUGAGACACGGCCCAAACUCCUACGGGAGGCAGCAGUAGGGAAUUUUCGGCAAUGGAGGAAACUCUGACCGAGCAACGCCGCGUGAAUGACGAAGUACUUCGGUAUGUAAAGUUCUUUUAUCAAGGAAGAAAAGCAAAUGGCGAACCAUUUGUUUGCCGGUACUUGAUGAAUAAGCCCCGGCUAAUUAUGUGCCAGCAGCCGCGGUAAGACAUAAGGGGCAAGUGUUAUCCGGAAUUAUUGGGCGUAAAGGGUGCGUAGGCGGUCUAGUAAGUCAGUGGUGUAAUGGCAACGCUUAACGUUGUCCGGCUAUUGAAACUGCUAAACUUGAGUUAGAUAGAGGCGAGUGGAAUUCCAUGUGUAGCGGUAAAAUGCGUAAAUAUAUGGAGGAACACCAGAGGCGUAGGCGGCUCGCUGGGUCUUAACUGACGCUGAGGCACGAAAGCGUGGGGAGCAAACAGGAUUAGAUACCCUGGUAGUCCACGCCGUAAACGAUGAGUACUAAGUGUCGGGUUAAACCGGUACUGAAGUUAACACAUUAAGUACUCCGCCUGAGUAGUACGUACGCAAGUAUGAAACUUAAAGGAAUUGACGGGACUCCGCACAAGCGGUGGAUCAUGUUGUUUAAUUCGAAGAUACCCGAAAAACCUUACCAGGUCUUGACAUGUUUUUGCAAAAUGAUAGUAAUAUCGUGGAGGUUACCAGAAACACAGGUGGUGCAUGGUUGUCGUCAGCUCGUGUCGUGAGAUGUUAGGUUAAGUCCUAAAACGAGCGAAACCCUUAUCGUUAGUUGCCAGCACGUUAUGGUGGGGACUUUAACGAGACUGCCAAUGAUAAAUUGGAGGAAGGUGAGGAUCACGUCAAAUCAGCAUGCCCCUUAUGACCUGGGCUACAAACGUGAUACAAUGGCUGUUACAAAGGGUAGCUGAAACGCAAGUUCUUGGCCAAUCCCCAAAAACAGUCCCAGUCCGGAUUGAAGUCUGCAACUCGACUUCAUGAAGUUGGAAUCGCUAGUAAUCGCGAAUCAGCAUGUCGCGGUGAAUACGUUCUCGGGGUUUGUACACACCGCCCGUCAAACCACGAAAGUUGGCAAUA